GGAUGAAGGCCUUCGGGUUGUAAACCGCUUUCAGCAGGGACGAGGCGAAAGUGACGGUACCUGCAGAAGAAGCCCCGGCUAACUAUGUGCCAGCAGCCGCGGUAAUACGUAGGGAGCAAGCGUUAUCCGGAUUCAUUGGGCGUAAAGCGCGCGUAGGCUGCCCAGUAGGUCGAGAGUUAAAUCCGGGGGCUCAACCCCCGUCCGCUCCCGAUACCGCUGGGAUUCGAGUCUGGUAGGGGAAGGUGGAAUUCCCAGUGUAGCGGUGGAAUGCGCAGAUAUUGGGAAGAACACCGGUGGCGAAGGCGGCCUUCUGGGCCAUGACUGACGCUGAGGCGCGAAAGCUAGGGGAGCGAACAGGAUUAGAUACCCUGGUAGUCCUAGCCGUAAACGAUGGGCACUAGGUGUGGGGAGGCUUUACUUUCCGUGCCGACGCUAACGCAUUAAGUGCCCCGCCUGGGGAGUACGGCCGCAAAGCUAAAACUCAAAGGAAUUGACGGGGGCCCGCACAAGCAGCGGAGCAUGUGGCUUAAUUCGAAGCAACGCGAAGAACCU
rnacentral:rRNA from 1 species